rnacentral:lncRNA from 1 species
AUGCCGAUGUCUCCUCCCUCCGCCCAGCUCUGGACUGGCCGGGAAGGCUGGAUAAUGGCUGCAUCGGGAUGGGGAUGGGGGCUCCCAAUUCGAGGUGCAAGGGGGGCACAGUGCUCGCCCCCGCCGGUCCCCAAGGGGGUUGGCAGAGGUGCCCCGGGCAGUGGUGGCACCGGCAGGGGGACCCGGUGGCGGGAGCCGGUGCCACCCCACGGAGGACACCCCCACCCGGGGCUCUGCCCUUCCCCGCGUGCCGGGGGCAGGAAGGAGGCCGUGGUGAGGAGCCCGGCACAUCCCGGCGGCGCCUUGGCCCCGGCCCAGCAGCCUUGGCAGCGCUUGGCUCCCUGGCACGCUGCCGGCUGCCGGCCCCGUCCGUGGCGCCCCGGGGGGGGACGUGGUGGCAGGGAGGGGGGGGGCGCGGGGCCGUGCACCCACGCCGGGGCACGCGUGCACCUUUGGGUGCUUUCGCACCGGUGUCCGCGUUGUCUGCUGGAUCGCCCUCGCCUUUCCUCCACGCCGGGCAGCUCCAGCGCAGCCGGAGAGCGGAGGGGACGGGGAGCCAGCCGCCGCGGUGACACCCCGGACGUGCCAUCGGGGAGGGCGGUGGCACCCCCCCGCCGCCCCGCGGAGAGAGGGAGGCGAGGGAGCCGCCGUGCCGGGCAUGUUCCCGGAUUCCUGGGCAACCUCAGCUCCUGCUGGCGCGGGAAGAAACGCUUGGCUUUUCCCGCGCUCCCUCCAGCGGGCGCCGCAUCCGGGGGGGAAAAGCUCRGCCCGCCGGCGACGGCAGCACCGCAGAAGAGGGAGAAAAGAGGCUCUUUGAAGAGCCCCCCCGGAGGCAGGGCGAGGGGGGGCCRCGCCGAGACGCCCCCGGAGCCGCCACGUGCCGGGCCCGGGGCCAAGGCUGGCACGGCGGCGCGAGGCCGACCACGGGCGCUGGCAGGGCCCRGCCGCGCCGGGAACAGCGUCCCCAUUCUGGCAGCCCCCCGCGGGUGCAGGGGCGGUUGGCACCCGCUCGGCCCCGGGCCCGGCGCCAGGUCCCCUCCCCGCGGCGGCACGGUGCCGGGAUUGUGGGGGACGCCGGGACGGGGGGCGGGAGGGCAGGGCGCCGCCGUCCCCGGGCCCGCGGAGGGGUCGGGGGCCCCGCGUCAGCCCCGUCCCCGCGAUGGGGCGUCACGAUGGAGAUGA